GGGGUUGUGGCUUAGCGGUAGAGCGCUUUCCUCGCAAGUUGGAGACCCUGGGUUUGAACCUCAGCACCA
rnacentral:tRNA from 1 species